AUUGAACGCUGGCGGCAGGCCUAACACAUGCAAGUCGAGCGGUUGAAGGGUGCUUUCUCCUGGAUUCAGCGGCGGACGGGUGUGUAAUUCCUAUGAAUCUGCCUUGUUGUUUUGGAUAACGUCCUGUCACGGGCGCUAAUACCGCAUACGUCCUUAGGGUGAAAGUUGGGGUUCUUCGGACCUCACGCUUUCUGAUGAUCCUAGGUCGGAUUAGCUAGUUGGUUGGGUAAAGUCCUACCAAGGCGACGAUCCGUAACUGGUCUGAGAGGAUGAUCAGUCAAACUGGAACUGAGACACGGACCAGACUACUACGGGAGGCAGCAGUGGGGAAUAUUGGACAAUGGGCGAAAGCAUGGUACAGCAAUGCCGCGUGUGUGAAGAAGGUCUUAGGAUUGUAAAGCACUUUAAGUGGGGAGGAAGGGAAGUAAGUUAAUACCUUGAUGUAGUGACGUUAACAAAAGAAUAAGCACCGGCUAACUACGUG
rnacentral:rRNA from 1 species